GCUGAGCUCAUCCAGCCUCACAUUUUAUUAUUUUAGGAGAGAGAGCUGUUUUGGUUUGUGAUACAAGAGACGAGGCUGUCUCUGCCUUUCACCCAUCGGUAGCUCUCCUCCUGUCCCUGCCUCUAUGCACACACUGCCAGGCAUAGUCUUCCUCCCUCUGUGUGUGUGUGUGUGUGUGUCUCUCUCUCUCGCUUCAGCUCCUAAAACCUAAGAUGCAUCGGAUAUAAAAACACGCACAUAAACACACACACACACACACACACACAUCAACAAGCCAUGGAGAAACAUCAGGAAUUACUGCAAGCUGUCAAAACCGAAGAUGUAGCUGCAAUGCAGAAGCUGUUGCAAAGGCCGAAACAAGGCAAAGCGAAUUCGGAUGUUGGUUCCUGGAAAGCCUCCAUUGUUGGAGGACGAGAAGCCGUAUCCAAUUGAAGCAGCACAGGCUUCUGCGAUGACUGUGGAAACCACUGCUUAUGCCUUGCUUCAAGCGUUGUCAAGGAAUGAUAUUGACUAUGCAACACGGAUUGCGAGGUGGCUAACGAUGCAACAGAACUAUGGUGGUGGAUUUCACUCGACGCAGGACACAAUCAUUGCCUUGGAAGCUUCAUCACGAUACGACAUUGCAUUUCUGAAGAGGGAAGAAGAAAUCAACAUGCAAAUUCAAUUCCAUGGUUUUGGAAGUCCCAUUGAGAACACGAUUCAUUUGCGCCGGCAUAAUGCUCUGACCGAGAAAGAAUUGAGGUAAUUGCAUGACAGUUUGACUGGUUCGUUGAGAGUGAGGAACCUAUGGACUCUCACACACCGAGAUGGAAUUUAGUUCGAAGAGUGACUUCAAAAUGUUCCGCAAGUUUUAGCGUAAACUGGUGGAGACUUUCGGUGCUUGCAAAAAGGCUCACCUCUCCGUUAAUACCGAAGGAAAAUGGGAGUUUAAAAAUGGUUGGAUAUUGGAUUCAUUUUAAAUGAGGAACCAUACGAUUAGACUGUUUUGAUGAGGAAUUUAAAGAUUACGAGUCGUGUCCGUUUGACUCACAGUUUGGUACCAUAGGUUGGUACGAUCUUCGUUGGAGAAGGCAAAGGGAUGUUCCAGAUCCAGAAAAUCGUCAAACCAUUUACUACAAAGUCCGUUUCUGGGUGGAGUUAGUGGAACCGAAAAAGAUGUCUCCCUCACAGCGCUUGUGACACAAGAAUUGCAUCGUUCCUUGGCGGCCUUUCAACAGAAGAAUAUUCAGAGAUUUCCCGAGUGAUUCUGAUGUUGGUUCCUGGAAAGCCUCCAUUGUUGGAGGACGAGAAGCCGGAUCCAAUUGAAGCAGCACAGGCUUUUGCGAUGACUGUGGAAAC